CCUACGGGUGGCAGCAGUGAGGAAUAUUGGUCAAUGGGCGCGAGCCUGAACCAGCCACGUCGCGUGAAGGAUUACUGCCCUCCGGUUUGUAAACUUCUUUUAUAAAGGAAUAAUGUGAGGCACGUGUGCCUUUUUGUAUGUACUUUAUGAAUACGGAUGGCGUAACUCCGUGCCAGCAGCCGCGGUAAUACGGAGGAUCCGAGAGUUAUCCGGAUUUAUUGGGUUGAAAGGGAGCGUAGAGGGGUGGUUAAGUCAGUUGUGAAAGUUUGCGGCUCAACCGAAAAAUUGCAAUUGAUACUGGCAGUCUUGAGUACAGUUGAGGAAGGCGGAAUGCGUGGUGUAGCGGUGAAAUGCUUAGAUAUCACGAAGAACUCCGAUUGCGAAGGCAGCUUACUAAACUGCCACUGACAUUGAGGCUCGAAAGUGUGGGUAUCAAACAGGAUUAGAUACCCGAGUAGUC
rnacentral:rRNA from 1 species